GACAAGGUGGCCGAGUUGGUUAAGGCGUUGUGUUUGGGUCUAAUGACUCCAUCCGCAAUGGGAAACCGCGCGAGUCCGAAUCUCGUCCUUGUCA